rnacentral:rRNA from 1 species
CUGGUUUCGCUGGUUCCUCCUUUCUGAAGAACUGUAAUGUCAUUAAUUUGGUGUUGCAGGGAAACAGGACUGUUACUUUGAAAAAAUUAGAGUGUUUAAAGCAGGCUAACGCUUGAAUACAUUAGCAUGGAAUAAUGAAAUAGGACGUUCAAACCUAUUUUGUUGGUUUCUAGGAUUGACGUAAUGAUUAAUGGGGAUAGUUGGGGGCAUUAGUAUUCAAUUGUCAGAGGUGAAAUUCUUGGAUUUAUUGAAGACUAACUACUGCGAAAGCAUUUGCCAAGGAUGUUUUCAUUAAUCAAGAACGAAAGUUAGGGGAUCGAAGACGAUCAGAUACCGUCGUAGUCUUAACCAUAAACUAUGCCGACUAGGGAUCGGAUGAUGUUAAUUUUUUAAUGACUCAUUCGGCGCCUUACG